GGUGAAAGGCUAAUCAAGCCUGGUGAUAGCUGGUUCUCCCCGAAAGCUAUUUAGGUAGCGCCUCGGACGAAUACCAUAGGGGGUAGAGCACUGUUUCGGCUAGGGGGUCAUCCCGACUUACCAAACCGAUGCAAACUCCGAAUACCUAUGAGUACUAUCCGGGAGACAGACUGCGGGUGCUAACGUCCGUAGUCAAGAGGAAAACAAUCCAGACCGCCAGCUAAGGCCCCAAAAUCAUAGUUAAGUGGGAAACGAUGUGGGAAGGCAUAGACAGCUAGGAGGUUGGCUUAGAAGCAGCCACCCUUUAAAGAAAGCGUAAUAGCUCACUAGUCGAGUCGGCCUGCGCGGAAGAUGUAACGGGGCUAAAACUAUGUGCCGAAGCUGCGGAUUUGACAUUAGUCAAGUGGUAGGGGAGCGUUCUGUAAGCCGAUGAAGGUGUAUUGAGAAGUAUGCUGGAGGUAUCAGAAGUGCGAAUGCUGACGUGAGUAACGACAAAACGGGUGAAAAACCCGUUCGCCGAAAGACCAAGGGUUCCAGUCCAACGUUAAUCGGGGCUGGGUGAGUCGACCCCUAAGGCGAGGCCGAAAGGCGUAGUCGAUGGGAAAAUGGUUAAUAUUCCAUUACUUCUGUGUAAUGCGAUGAGAGGACGGAGAAGGCUAAAUCAGCCUGGCGUUGGUUGUCCAGGUGAAAGGAUGUAGGCAUGUAUCU
rnacentral:rRNA from 1 species